rnacentral:rRNA from 1 species
UACGGAGGAUGCGAGCGUUAUCCGGAUUUAUUGGGUUUAAAGGGUGCGUAGGCGGGCUUUUAAGUCAGCGGUAAAAAUUCGGGGCUCAACCCCGUCCGGCCGUUGAAACUGGGGGUCUUGAGUGGGCGAGAAGAAGGCGGAAUGCGUGGUGUGGCGGUGAAAUGCAUAGAUAUCACGCAGAACCCCGAUUGCGAAGGCAGCCUUCCGGCGCCCUACUGACGCUGAGGCACGAAAGUGCGGGGAUCGAACAGG